GGCCAGGGAGGGCACUGUAGGGAGUUAUUUUCCCCCAAGGAUGACCUGAUGGCUCACUUCUGAAUACCUUAGGGCUUAAUGUUCGCCAGGGAUGCUUCACAGGCACUUUCAUCUGGAUGACAUCCCUGUAAGCUUGUGCCAUUUUACAGGUGUGGAAAUGGAGGCUCAGAGAGAGAGACUGACUUGUUCUGGUUCCCUGCCCAGCAAGAGGAAGGUCGGGGCUCGAACUCAAGUCUGUCUCCAUGACCCCAGCGCUGCUGUGUCGUGCCGGAUUCUCCAACCCUAUCUUGGCAGUGAAGCAAGUGACAUGGAUUCUCUCCAACCACCUAAGUAUUUCGUUUUAUGAAGAGAUGAGUUUUGACCUGGUGCUGCUAUAAGCUUCCUCAGUCAGGAAGCUCUGCCUGUCCAGGAUUUCCUGUGUGUGGGAAAGAAACAGGAUGAGCAGAUUAAUCCUCCAUGGCUUUUAAAAAAAAAAGUACAUGAGGCCCUCCUUCUGGUAAGUCUGCAGGAUCCCUGGCCAAGAUGACCGCUCACUGACAUGUGUUUUG
rnacentral:lncRNA from 1 species